rnacentral:rRNA from 1 species
GACGAACGCUGGCGGCGUGCUUAACACAUGCAAGUCGAACGGAAAGGCCCUGCUUUUGUGGGGUGCUCGAGUGGCGAACGGGUGAGUAACACGUGAGUAACCUGCCCUUGACUUUGGGAUAACUUCAGGAAACUGGGGCUAAUACCGGAUAGGAGCUCCUGCUGCAUGGUGGGGGUUGGAAAGUUUCGGCCGUUGGGGAUGGACUCGCGGCUUAUCAGCUUGUUGGUGGGGUAGUGGCUUACCAAGGCUUUGGCGGGUAGGCGGCCUGAGAGGGUGACCGGCCACAUUGGGACUGAGAUACGGCCCAGACUCCUACGGUAGGCAGCAGUGGGGAAUAUUGCCCAAUGGGCGGGAGCCUGAUGCAGCAACGCCGCGUGCGGGAUGACGGCCUUCGGGUUGUAAACCGCUUUCGCCUGUGACGAAGCGUGAGUGACGGUAAUGAGUAAAGAAGCACCGGCUAACUACGUG